GACGAACGCUGGCGGCGUGCUUAACACAUGCAAGUCGAACGGAAAGGCCCUGCUUGUGUGGGGUGCUCGAGUGGCGAACGGGUGAGUAACACGUGAGUAACCUGCCCUUGACUUUGGGAUAACUUCAGGAAACUGGGGCUAAUACCUGAUAGGAGAUCCUGCUGCAUGGGGGGGGUUGGAAAGUUUCGGCGGUGGUGGAUGGACUCGGGGCUUAUCAGCUUGUGGGUGGAGGAGUUGCUUACCCAGGCAUUGACGGGUAGCCGGCCUGAGAGGGUGGACAGCGUCAUGGGGCCUACGAGACGGACCAGACGGCUACGGUAGGCAGUAGUGGGGAACAUUGUACAGUGGGGCGAAGUGUGAUACAGCAGUGCCGCGUGCGUGAAGACGGCCUUCGGGUUGUAAACCGCUGUAGGCUGUGACGAUGCGGGUGUGACGUUAAUAGGUAAAGAAGCACCGGCUAACUACGUG
rnacentral:rRNA from 1 species